rnacentral:snRNA from 2 species
GGAUCCCCAAUUUGUCACCCUAUUGAUCAUCGGGGUUGAUUCAGUUGAUCUGGAAGGCAAGGUGAGUGUCCCCUUACCCCUUCCAUGUGCGUCUCUCCCAAAGCUGUGCACUCGGUCUAAGAGGGUGACCUUCCCCAGUAGAGGAGGACCAUUCUUUGGUCAAGGGUAUACGAAUAGCUGUAUUCCUCUGCUAGAUCCUCCAAACAAGCUCACAAGGUCCAUUUGUAGGAGAAAGUAGGGUAGUCAAGCUUCCAAGACCCUGGACACAUACAAAUGAGGUACCGCAUGUGGCAGUCUACUUUUU